rnacentral:lncRNA from 1 species
UUGGUGUACAGCGUUGCUGUUUUGCUGUCACGUACCUUCCCGGAGCCUGGGACUGAGGGGGCGCGCGCGUGUGCGUGUGUUUGAGGGAAAGCGGGACUCGGGCAGGGCCGUCCCCUGUUCCCUUUUCCCUUAGCGGAGGCGGCAGUCUGCACGCUCGUUUGCUCGCCGCCCACUUGGGAGCGGUCUCGGGGUGCUUUUUUGAUUUUGGAACUUGUGAGAGUCUCCCCCGACCCCCACUCCCCUCUUCCAUUUUUUUUUCCCCCUUUCGGCUUGGCGCCUCUAGGGCUGGUUUCCCCGGCCCCUGAAUAACCGCUUCCCGACUCUGGUCGCCAGGCCUGCCUCAGGUUGCCCCCGGCUCUGCCCCUGGCCUCGGAGGGUGGGAAGCCUUGCUUAGAGGGUCUCUGAAGCUUAGCCGCACCUGCCUCUCAGUAUGCAUGGGGUCAACGACCCUCCUCUUUUUAUAAAAGACAUUAAGGCCGGACUGAAAAACUUAAAUGUCGUCUUUAUUGUCCUGGAGAUAGGUAAGUGAGGUCCGCAGCCCGCCCCACACCCUCGAGCGCUCGGACUUCUUCCCCGCCCGCGACCCCACGUGCUCCCAGCUGAGACUCCUACCCGGGGACAGAAGUCAGUCACGUAGCAUGCCAGAGGAGGGUGAGACAGCUCUCUCGAAUGGACUCCUUAUCUAACACAUCUUUCCUUCUCCCCUGUUUGAUUUUUUAAAUCUUCACAGGACGAGUGACCAAAACCAAAGACGGCCAUGAAGUGAGAUCCUGCAAAGUAGCUGAUAGAACGGGAAGCAUCACUAUUUCUGUGUGGGAUGAGAUCGGAGGGCUCAUACAGACAGGGGAUAUUAUUCGAUUGACCAGAGGAUAUGCAUCAAUGUGGAAAGGAUGCCUGACACUUUAUACUGGAAGAGGUGGUGAACUUCAAAAAAUUGGAGAAUUUUGUAUGGUGUAUUCAGAAGUGCCAAAUUUCAGUGAGCCAAACCCAGAUUAUAGAGGACAGCAGAACAGAGUGGUACAAAAUGAACAGAAGGAUAAAAUGAACACCAGUAUAUUCGGGACAGUGGGAAAUGGUGUUCAGACUGGCCCUGAAUCUAGGGGAUAUCCUCUUCAAUAUGGCAGAAGCAAUGGCCCAGGACCCAUCAGUCCACAGCUACCAGGAGAACCUAGUAAUCAAACAGUCAGGACCACAAUAAGUAAUGCCAGAGAUCCGAGGAGAGCCUUUAAAAGAUGACCUAAGCCAAAGAGACACAUGUAGUUUUUAAACUACGUGACCUACUUGAACACUUAGUGCACUUUUAUUUAUUCUUAACUGUGAAAACUUUGUCUCUUACGGGUUUCCUUUUAUAUUUUUGGUUUGUUAAAAAGAGUGGUUGGUUU